rnacentral:sRNA from 1 species
AUUUAGCCCCGAUGGGAGCGAUAUCCUUUUGUGCCGGUCCCGAGGCUUCGGGAGGCACAAAAGAUAUAGUGGACAGCGGGACUAGAG